UUAAAAAAACAAUACAUUUUCCCUUGUUCCCUGUUUGGCCCUUUUCUAUUUAAAAGCCGCCCCCCUCUAUAAACAUGUAUGUUCUCUUUCAUCAAAUAUCUAUCUGCAACAUUAACACACACAUACAAACAAACAAUCCCAAGUUGUUCUUUAGUUUUAUGAUAUUUUGGGAAAGCAAAAUUAAGGAUGUUUGAAUUAUUUGUGCUAGGGUGUACUGGUGUUGUGAUGUUCCUUCAUGGAGCCAAUUUCUUCUUCCAUGCUCUGUCUCAACAUAUGGCCAUUCGUUCUCUCAGCUUCUUAGGAUUUGUUGGUUGGUGAAGAAUGAAGAUGAUGAUCACGAGCUAAAGGAAAAGCUUGCACCAACAGCAAUGUUGUUUUGUAAAUAUAUUUCAGUUUUUUUUUUUUUUUACCUUCUAAGAAAGAUGUUAGUAUUAUAUUGUUGUAAAAGUCCCAGUAGAAUACCUAUGAUGAGAAAAUAGAUCCUCUAUAAUUGUAUAAUCAUUGAAAGGCGUUUACCUUAGUUUAAGUGAUACAACGACCUUUCGAUUA